CAGGUGAUAAAUGACAUCUGAUCUGUGAUGCGACUGUCGUUUGGCACACUGCAUUGAGCAGCAGCAUUCAGUUUUAAAGGUGGCUGACAGAUGAAGCGGCCCAUACCGCCAUCUACCGCACAUCGUUUAAUGAAUAUUGAGUGACCUAAACCAUGUAGCACAGAAAUUACACUUUCACUUCACUUUAAAAUGAAAGACAUGAGGAAACAAUCCCUCAUUAAAAUUAAUGUCAUGAUCAUAUGAAUUUAAGACUUGCAGCUCUGAUUUAAGACUUUAAGACCCGGGGAAACCCUGAUGUAUAUUCCUAUUGAAGUGGAUUUCGCCAAUGAAAAUUCAUAACACAAUGUCCACUCACUUGACAGACAGGUGAAGGAUCUCAGUACGAGAACGUCGCAUGUUGCUGGCCAUCUUUAGAAGCUCCCUCUCC